GCAGAUAUACGUGCAAUUACCCUGUCAACAGUGCUUAAAAUCUCUUCUGGUGCUCGUGGCGUUGCUCCGCAAACGGUGAUCGAUAACGUUCGCCGACCGAUACGGCAUCGAUCGUAUUUUCUGUUCGCGCGUUACACUGCUGCGAGAAAGAGUUUGGAUCUCGCGUGUCGCGGCCACGUGAAGGAAAAAUUAAACGUCCCUCCGUCUCGCGGUUCACGGCGAUUCGAAUCGCCGCUGUCGCCACCGCCGCGAUCCUCCGGCAGCGUAGUUUUGCGAUCAGUCGCUACCGCACGCUGCGCACGGUGAGUUUGACGUUUCGUUUCGGAGACAACGUGUAGUGACGGGUUUCGUUCGGGCAAAAACGGUGGCGUUCACCGUCCACUUUGUGUACCAUGACUAUCUCAUGAGACCGCUAUAAAUCAAUUGUCAGUUUAUAACGUACAUUGAUGCGUUGCCAAAGAUUCUCCACACUUUCCAUGUUUUCGUAAUCAACGUAACGGAAACAUAAAUACGCGAGUGGUGUGCUAGUGUGAACAAAAAGACUAGUGAUCGAGACAAAAAAAAGAGGGGUUAUCCGCGGAUUCGAGAUGACUCGCCACCUGUGGCUAAAAGCAGCAUUCGCUUUCUUCGUGAUAUCAGGUGCGAGCUGCCUGCGGGAUGUCAGCCUAGAAGUAGUUCCGGAGGUAGUGCAACGUGGUCAGAAGGUGAUUCUGCGCUGCCAUUACGAUCUCGAGGAGGCUCCUCUUUACUCCCUCAAGUGGUACCGUGGCAGGCACGAGUUCUACCGUUACACACCAAGCGAGGAACCGGCUACCAAAGUCUUCAACAUUACCGGAAUUUACGUUGACCACGAGAACUCGAACAAGAGCCAGGUAACGCUCCGCGACGUCGACUUCGCUCUCUCGGGUAUGUUCAGUUGCGAAGUUACAGCGGACGCGCCGACUUUCACCACCGCCUACGUCUCCAAGAAUCUUACGGUAGUGUUUCUACCCGAAGGCACGCCCAUUAUCGUAUCGGAACGCGAACGUUACGAUGCCGGAGACACUUUGAGGGCAAAUUGUAGCUUACCACCCUCCAAACCACCGGCUCAUCUCUCAUUCACUCUGAACAACGUGGCGGUGGAGUCGUACACGAAUCAUCAGCCACAGCCGUAUCCACAGCAGAGGUGGGAUCGUAACGACGCUUCUUCGCCCCAUACCGAUCAGACAGAGAAUCUUCAGUGGAUCGAGAUCAGGGUGAAUCUUCAACCGUUCCAUUUCUCGAACGGCCAGUUGAAUUUACGAUGCAGCGCCCAGAUUCCAGGCAUAUAUUCGGCGAUAAGCGAGGUGCAGCUCGGUGCUGGACUGCGUGAACCUGUGCCAGAGAGGGUGACCUCGGAGAACGGAAGCGAAGCUCCUACGGCCAUCUAUUUGACGAUGCUGAUGCUGUGUAUGCUCCAGCUGUUCCUGAGAUAGUCACGAUACGCCUGAGGCCACGGAAAGGGAGUCCAUGGGCGCCGCACCAUAAACAGCGCACUAGUCAAAAGGAGGAGCAGAAGGAAAGGAAAAGACAGCAGUUUAAGGGCUGACCGAAUCGGUGGCGGGAAACCAAAUAAUAAUAUUGUUGAAUCGGCAUUGGUAUCACGUGUUUUUUAGCGUAUUCGGUUCGGUUUCGUUCAAAGAGGAAUCGAAUACCAUCGCUUUCAUUGUUACAUUCUACGUCGUAUGUCCCCGAUUAAAAAUCGUUCAUCGAGAUCGUGACGAUGCAGGACACUACACGGUUUAUUGAUACGCUUAUCUCGACUUAUCGGAUAAUACCAUCGCGAUUUAUUCGAGAGCGACGCGACGUCGUGAACCGGUUCUCGAUUCGAAGUAUCAUAGAGAAGGGCUGAUAUUCAAUUUAAUAGCACAGAAUGAGAUCAGUAAUUUUCGGUUUUCAAUGUAUCGAUACUAUUUUUUUUUUAUAUAUUUAAUGUAUCGAUAUUAGGAUUACAUCAGCGAUUUACUGAUAAGCACCAUUUUGUAAAGAAAAGUAUGAUAUAUAGAAUCUAGUAUCGAAGGAACGAUAGGAGUUUAUGAGAAUUUUAUUAUCAUUUGAUGAAAGUGAAAAUAAUAUUAGAAGAAGUUAUUGGAUACAUAAAAGUCUGCAAUUAAAGUCAGUUUAGUCCUGAACUGCAAAUAUCCAUAUUUUUGUCAUUCAUAAAUUCCUCGUUAGAUUAUAAUCAUGAAAUAAAAAUUCAGAAUUUUAAAGAUCACUAAUUUGUACAGUCAAACUCCAUUUAUCCCAGCUCAUUAGGCAACAUCAUAAUUGAUACAAUAUUUCCCAUUUAUAAUUUGUCAUUCCUAUAAUAAUAAUUCAUUUUUCCUCCAAUUCCCACCAGAUAAAGUUCCGUUCGAAUAAAUAAAACCGCUAUACCUUUAUAGUUAAGGAUUACAUUUAACGUAUAUAUAAUAUGAAUAUAAGUACAUCAAGAUUAGUCUAAUAUCACAUACCGUGCUAUUAAAUGGACAACAGCCUUAACACACGCACGAGCUCCUCGUAAUGAAAAGACAGUUAUAAUGUAAUACGUGUUCGAUCGACAAAUGCUCAAACAAAUUCCGCGUCCGAUAAGUAACGAAAAACCAAUUGAUCGUUCGAGGACAAGGUCGAGAGUGGCUUUAAAGUGAAAAUCUUUUGCUUGCGUAUCGCGUUUCCGCUUCAAAGGAUCCCUGUCACAGAUAUUCUAUUCCGGUUUCCAUCACGAACGUUGCAAAAAGAACACGUAAUUGACGACGAGACAUAGAGAGCCUGAUUGGUGAAAUAUAAGGUUCCAAACAAGGUAUAGUGGUACAGGAAAAUAUUUGAACACUUAUAGAAACCUUUUAUAAAUAUGUUGUAUGCAUUGUGUAAAACGAUUUGAAAUUUCAUUAGUACUAUAUUGAGACACGAAUGUCAUUAUUAUAGUGAGUAAGAAAACAAUUUACAAAAUAUAUGUAGAAGUUACAAUACAUUUGCUGUAAAAAUAUAUAGGGUGGUUGGUAAUUGGUGGUACAAGCGGAAAGGGGGUGAUUCUACGCGAAAAAAGAAGUUGAAAAUAUAGAAUAAAAAUUUUUUUUUAAUUUUUUUUUUAAUUUUUCCAUAACGAUAACGAUCUAUAGUGAAAUCCUUUAUAACCCUCAAACGAAAAAUUUUUAUUCUAUAUUUUCGAUUUCCUUUUUCGCGUAGAAUCACCCCCUUUCUGCUUGUACCACCAGUUACUAACCACCCUGUAUUUAGUUAAAAAUUAGUAUAUAGCAUGAAUAGUCACCUUCGAAACAUAAUAAGUGUUAAAGAUGAUAACUAAAUACCGAAGCUUGUUAAUAAAAUGGAUAAUUGACUAUUUAAAUACUUUUGUGGACUUCGCAAAACAUAUAUUUACACUAAUUAUCUUGUAUCUUCUACGUAAAUUUUUUCAUUUGUUCCUAACUUUUCCAAUAUAAUUAUGACAGCCGUGUCUCACUAUAGUACUAAUAAAAUUUCGAAACGUUUCGUACGACACACAUAAUUCACGUAAUUUACAUAAUUCACGCGUAUUCAUAAAAGGAUUCUACAAUUUAUCGAAUACUUUUAUGAACCACUGUAGAAAUGGUGUUCAAGCACUACAUCAUCCUAUUUCGUCCUUCGAUGAGGGAGGACAGACACGAUCGAAUGUCCUGCCAUUAUUCCACCUAAAGAUGCGUGUCAUGCCGCGCUCUACGUCAUUCUAUCGUGUUUAUUGAACCAUUGUCCGUAGACCAGGUGAAGGACCGGAGAUGGAUGCUAUGAUUUUGAUGCGAAGGACUAGUCAAGUGGCGCUCGCCAGACUCCUAACUUUUCCUUUCCCUCUUCUCUCUUGCGUGUCCCACGUAGCACAGAAAAAUGCCACCUACCUUCGUUUCACGUCGUAACCAUGCUUCCAUGCGAAAAUAUUCGCAGUACAAGGUAUUCACGAGAGGAACACGCGCGUACAAUUACACACAUGUUUGUUGAUAUCGUGCAAUGUGUGUAUGUGUGAGAGAGAGAGAGGUAUUUUGGGUAAUGUGUAAUAAUCGAGGUUAAUUGAUGUGGUACAGGGAGCUAGGUCUUAGUUUGAUUUAUUUCUGGGAAUAUUUUAUGUGAUGUUAUUGAUUUGUUAUAUGGAUUGAUUGAAAAUUGCAUUUUGGAUACAUUGGAGAAGGUCUGUGUUAAUUGUUUUACAGUUUAUAAUAGUACUUUAUACUUAAAUACUUUGAUUUCUCGAUGAAUUGUGAGAAUAAAAUUUCAUGUUAUACGAUUAAAGGACCUGAUUAAGGGAUCUGUUACAAAUGUUAUAAGAGACAAUUACAAAUAUUAUACAGAUGUGUUAGGAAUAGCCGGCGAUAAGUAACUCAGAACUACAAAUUUUUAAAUACAACAUAAAAAUUAUUAAUAAAAGAUGUUAAAGUGAUUAAAAUUAUUUCAAGCUUCUAGAAAUAGAAAUACGUUCUGUUUAAGAAAAAUACAGGAUUCUCUUUUGCGUCUAAUAUCUAGUGUUGAUUUUACAUUUUCGCUUUUGGAUAGCGAAAUGUAGGAGAAAUAUAUAUUUGUUUAUAGAAUGCCUAUCAUUCUUCUUAAAUUAAAAUUUUGUUACGUUCAAAAUAUCUUCUCCCUUUAUCUUUCUAGUAUCUUUUAAUCGCUAAUCUUAAUAUUAAUAUUCGGUAUUUUAAGGGGAAAUUAUAUUUCGUUUAAAAAAACAUCAUUUUCUAUGUUCAUUAGUAUAAUAUUUCUUCCUGCCAAGCAAUAUAUAUUUACAUCUAUUUCCAAUUUUUGCCUUCAAAAAAAUUUCCAAUCAAUCUAUAUAUCGUUAUUGUCAAGCGCGAAAUAAAGCGGUUUUUACAAAUAUUGUAAGAUCUCACUAAUAUUUGCGAUUUACGCUAUAAAUAUUUCUUCAAUUUUAACAGGGAAGCGAAUAUACCAAAUGAUAAAGUUACUUAAAAUCCUGUAUAAUACUAGAUAUAGAACAUAGAAACUAACGAACAAAAGAUAAUUAAACGAAACAAAAGCGUAAUUAUAAAUCAUACUGAAAGUUGCGUCAAGUAUCGCGUAAUGGUUAUACCAAACGAAGAAUUGUUACAAUAUGGAAUGGACCGUGAGACAAGGUUUGAAAAGUAGCCCAAAAAGCGCAAUAUUUUUUUAUAUACCUUUCGGUGCGUUUGCUCGAAUAUUUUCCGCUUGCCAACGUAUAAGUUGUAUCAACAAUCAAGAGCUUUCGUUUCAUGCAAAAUGUUUCGCAAAAUACGGAUAUUUGAAUAUACAGUGACUCUCAAAAAUAUUUGAACACUUAUUAUGGAAAACUUUAUGUGUAUAAAACAUUUUGAUACUUCAUUGACACGAUGAUAAGACGCGAUUGCUAUGAUUAUAUUACUAAACUUUGAAACCGAUCUGAAAAUGUAUAUAGAAGCUACAAGAUAUUUAUUAUGAACAUAUAUUCAAUAAAAAAAAUUAGCAUACAGCAUGAAUAGCUAACUCGAACGUGCAAUAAGUAUCAAAAAAAGAUAGUCCCAUUGAGUAUCAAGGCUUAUUAAUAUAAUGUGAACAAAUGACUGUUUAAACACUUUAGUGGCGUUUGCUAAUGAAAUUUUAAAAUGUUUCGUGCAACGCACAUGGAAUAUUCAUAGAUGUCUACAAGUGUUUCAAUAGUUUUCGAGUCACCGUAUCUGGUUAAGAAGGGCCGGAUCGAUAAUUUGAUUGUAGAAAAGGAAGCGGAAUUUCAAGGCUGAAGUAGAGACACAACCCCCUCCCACAUGUCUCCUUUUUAUUAAAGAAAGUCUAAAAUUGCUGAAGGAUUCCAUGCGUCUGUAAAGCGUCCACGUGCCGCGUGUUUCUCCAGUUUGCGGAUAGGAAAAUCGUUCGUGUUAUUCCAUAGACAUAGAAAACGCUCCUUUUUACCUACGUGCAUAUGUAACCAGGCCGGAUCUUCGGCAAACUCCACCAAGCAUUUACGCAGGAUGUCGAUGUAAAAAGGAGAACCGGUAUAUACAAGGAUAAGGCGAAAGAGAGUUUUUUAUUCUUCGAGAGCAAAUGUAUUGACAACAGCCAAAGCUACGCGUAUGUAGUGUCAAGCAAGAUGAAUUGACGUUAAGCAUGUAAAUUCUCAACUGUAUAUAAAGCAUUGGAAGAAUGUAGCGCAGUCGACAAAGGUAUCGUGAAAAUUGAUGGCAGGGGUACGCGUCAAAAUUUUUCAUAGAGAAAAUAUACUUGCGUUUUCUUAGAAAUUUCCAUAGAUGAUCACGAUUUUAAUAACUUUUGGAAAUUUUUGGUUCGAAAGUCGCAGAGGAAUAUGUGUAAUCGUAUACUGUGUUUCGUAAGUAUAAAAUCACCUAAAGACCUUCAACUUUUAUAUCGUCCUCUGGUGGUAACGUAAUAAGGUAACGAAACGUACUAUGUUUGAAAUCGUACUGAAAAAUAAUGUAAUUUUUUCUCCAGGGAAAGGUACAUUACGUCUCUCUGUAAAGGAAAAUGAUUAUUUCACUGGAAAACUAGGUUAUUCUCGUUUUAUAAGUAUAGAACCAAAAAAAAAAAAAAAAAAAUAUUGAAGUCAAGAUACCAGACACAUAAAAUGAAAUUGUAACAUUGUUAGUAAGUAUGGAUACCUCUCCAUAUCCAAUAAGUGUUAUUGUUCGAUUUUGAACACUUCUUGUCAGAUCUUGUCGUAUUGUACCUUAUACUUUAUACACAUAUAGGAAUCGAAGAAUUGGCAAUACUGAAAUGGUUUUACAAAUCAUUUGUUAUGAGUCACAGUAUAGAUGGAGCAUCUAUUUUUUAGCGACUUGUAUAGCGAAAAAUUUACUUGUUUCGCUUGUUUUAUCAGGAGAAAAAGGUUAGUCGCCGGAUAGAGCGGAUUGCGAGUGAAAUACAUCGGAUAAAAUGAUCCUUUUUAUAUUAACCGACAACGCGGCGUUGUGCUUACACCGUGCGCCAUUUCAUAAAUUCUGUUCUCGUUUGUACACAAUUGUAUCUUUCGUCUACCGGCCGUAUCCCCGGUACCGGUCGGGGGUUACAAACGUACACGACUCUGUAUAGGGUUUCCGGUAGAUCCCAGUGUAAACUUAACUGGUAGAUAUUUUUCCGUGUGCAAGAACACGGUUGGAAAAAAGUGAAGAAUAAAUUUUUGUAAGUGUACAUGCGGCUUUCGAAAGAGAUGACGGCGAACGCGAAGCAACUAUGAAUUUAACGGAAACAAUGGAUAAAAUUUGUAGAAUAGAUAUACCAGAAAAAUACUCCGAUGUACGUUCAGCUUACGAAGAAGUAAUGCUACAAUGUUGUAACGAAUAGCUGCCAUGUUACAUAUUUGAAACGAAAAGUGAAACUUUACAUUGUAAAAUUUCGUUGGAAAUAUCAUUUAUACUGAACAAAAAAAAGAGAAGAGAAAAAUCAAAUACUCGCGUUUGACAUUCAAUCAACGUCUUAAAAUACCAAAGAGAUAUUUGUUUUUGCAUUUUUAUUACGUAAAACGCGUUAUUUUUUCUUUUCCUUUUUUUUAGCGUAAAAAAUUACUUUAACAUGGUUGUAUGUAUUAUAAGGAAGAAAGAUCUAACGGUUUCGAUUAAAACUGCCAUUAUUCAUAACCUGAAUGAUAUAUUUCCAGUGAAGAAGUUAACGCAUUUCGUAUUGUAUCUAUUAUUUCCGAAAUUUGCUUAAUCGUCGAUGAAACUUCCUGUAUUUCCAUUUAAAAGAUCUAGAAAAAUUUCCAGAAUUGAAAAAGUAUUUAAUAUUGAUAUAAAAAAGAUGUACUUUUAUCGAAAUCGGCGAUUAAGUGACAAUAAAAGAGAAACGCGAAUUGCGUUGACUUCACUCAACAACCAUUGUUACAAGUAAUAACUCCCUGUAUAAAUACACUACUGCUCGAAUGUAUUCGGACACUUGCUUAUUUUUAACACGACGUUUUAUGUAAUUAAAUUACAGAUCAAAAGUGCAGCUGAUUUUAUCUAUUAUGUUAUUAUUGUGACAGCUAUCUUAGAACAUUAUGAAACGAUAAAAUUGUAAAUUUGUCGUAAAUUGUACAUUUGUAAAAACUAAUAUGCGACAACAGAAUUGGUAUCUGUAAGUAUCAAACUUUAUAGACCGCUUUCGUUAUUUGAGAUGUUCUUUAUCUUUAAGUUGUUUAGUUAUUAAGCUAUAGACCGUAUAAAAGAGGUUCUUAAUUCACAUGGUAAUAUUUAAAAUUGGAUAUAUCGAUGAAUUGCAUAUUUAAUUUGAAUAAAUUGUUGCUAAAUUUUUAAAUAAAUAAUUUAAAUCUA